AUACGGAGGGUGCGAGCGUUGUUCGGAAUUAUUGGGCGUAAAGAGCAUGUAGGCGGUCUGUUAAGUCUGGUGUGAAAGCCCGGGGCUCAACCCCGGAAGUGCAUUGGAUACUGGCAGACUUGAGUAUGGGAGAGGAAAGCGGAAUUCCGAGUGUAGGAGUGAAAUCCGUAGAUAUUCGGAGGAACACCAGUGGCGAAGGCGGCUUUCUGGACCAAUACUGACGCUGAGAUGCGAAAGCGUGGGGAGCGAACAGGAUUAGAUACCCGUGUAGUCC
rnacentral:rRNA from 1 species